CGGCUUAUCUGCGGACCGC
rnacentral:snRNA from 1 species